rnacentral:rRNA from 1 species
CAGUAGCCGCGGUAAUACGAGGGGGGCAAGCGUUGUUCGGAAUUAUUGGGCGUAAAGGGUGCGUAGGCGGUUUGACAAGUCUUAUGUGAAAUCUCUGGGCUCAACCCAGAGUCUGCAUGGGAAACUGUCGGGCUUGAGUAUGGGAGAGGUGAGUGGAAUUUCCGGUGUAGCGGUGAAAUGCGUAGAUAUCGGAAGGAACACCUGUGGCGAAAGCGGCUCACUGGACCAUAACUGACGCUGAGGCACGAAAGCUAGUGGAGCAAACAGGAUUAGAUACCCCCGUAGUCCCUGUCUCUUAUAC